CCCUACCGUGCUUCCCAUGCAAGCACGCGCCUCGGAGGGCUCGCCAUAAGUAGCAAGAAGAUACCCACAUAACUGACCAGAAGACUAUCAUCUCUCCCUUUUCUGAUUCCACUUCAGAGUGCUGCUGCUGAGCAUGAAUUGGAGGUCUCUAGAAAAACAUAGAACAGGAAGGCAGUUCUGAAAAAGCAAGUGUGGCCAGAGUGGAAUGAAAUAACAAUGUUCCCGCCUUCAU